CAGAGGAUGGACGGGCUCUGUGGGACCUCUAUGUCAUCCUCUCCUCCCCGCCAUGUGGCCUCCCUGCAUUUCCCUUUCAGAGUCCACAGCUUGACCAUCCGUGGUGGGCAGGCUUGGAAGUCACAAACACCCCAAAAGAGAUUUUCUGUCGCAGCAGCAGCACUGGGCAGCUCACAGAAACUCGGAGCCCAGGGUCUGCACAGGCUCAGAAAGCCCAGGAUCCUCCUCUGCCCUGGGUGCCCCCGACAGCCCAAAGGGGAAGGGGUCAGACGCGCAACAGUGUGACUGUGGCCUCCUCUCAGCCCAGCCCGCCUCUGGAGCAUCGCGGUCACUGUCCGUGACGCACAUGGGGUGCCUCACAGCUGGAGACACGCUGUAGGACUGACCCACAGAAUGUCAGAGCUAAGGGGGCUCCAAGACCUCAUUUUCCCCAACACUUUGCUUUGCAGAUGGGAAAGCAGAAGCCCAGAGAGGGGAAGGAAUUCCCUCAGGUCACACAGUGAGGGGCAGAGAGGGAAUGGAAGCUAGCUUUUGGACAGAACUCAUUUCUUUCGGAAGGCUCCUGGGCGAUGGCCCCUGCCUGGAACAACUAACAGCCUUGGAAACUCAGAGUAGCACACAGUAGGUGCUCAGCAGACAUUUGUGGACUGAAUAAGUGAUUAUUAUGGGACACAAAAAGCAGACCGUGAAGCUGGGAGUGGACCCCAAAUCCUGUCUUCCAACAGGAAGUCCUGCUCCUCUUUGCUACCAGUGAAGCGGGGCUUGGAAAGGAGGCGAGGGAGGGAAGAAGCGCGGCCGUGAAUCCUUUGUAAGGAGAAAUCAGUGGGGAGCGGGAAGCCCAUGGGAGUAGGCUCAUCCCAGGAAAUCAGGUAGAGAGGAGCAUGGUGGCUGGACCCUUGGCCCUGCUCUCCCAGGCACCACACCAUCCCCCACCUGGGGAACAGGGAGCACUUAGGUUUGGAAUCCUGGGGAAGAGAAGUUCUAUUUCCGUUGGGCUGUUGAGGCCUGUGACCGGUGGUGGCCAUCUUCUUUCAUCAACGGAAAAACCACUUGAGAAGGACACCAGUACAGAGGGGAGGAAGCCAAGCCAAGAGGCUGGGAGAGCCGAUUCCUGCUGACGGCAUCAAGCACCCAGAAUCAUGCUCACGGGACCACAACGGCCAGUGUCUGGAGCUGCUGCAGGGGAGGCCAGGAGCCUUCACCCGCCCCCGUCCUUGGGGACACCUCCUUCCUUUGGGCCUUGGGGGUCCUAUUCCCUACUUGCACACCAGAGAUCUUUUCCAGAAUACGCAGAGAACCUCGCUCACUUUGGAACAGGAUGCGUCCAUCACCGCCCUUUCCACAUCUCCCUGAAACGCAGCUCGGGUCCUCCUUUCUUUGCAUCAUGGCCUCCGGGGCUGUCGCGGGAGAGACCAGGCAGACGGUCCAUCAACAGCUCCGCACUUGGGGCCCCUGUGAGGCAAGAGCUGCCCACUGGGAAGCGCUGUUCACAAGGGACCUCACACUCCAGCUGAAGGGGCUGUGGAGGCCCCGAGGGCCGGAAGCAGUGCUCAGGCCAAAGUGAUCCCAAAGGCUUCUUGCUGGCUGGGGCCUUCUGGCCAUGCUGGAGGGUGGGGGGGCGAGGUCCCUGCAGUGUCUGAGGACCCACUGUGUGCAGGCUCAGGGUGCACAGAGAAGCAAGGGCAGAAGCCGGCCCCAGAGGUGUUCACAAGCCAAAUAUGGACAAGCCAGCCAGGCAGACAGAGAACCAGAGCUCACGGGCUGUUUUCAUGGGUGAAGGGUGGGGGUCGGGGCAGAGACCCAUGCCUGCUGGGGAACUAGUUAAGGAUAGGGAAUUUUUCACUGAGACUCGAAGGCUGUACCAGUUAGAUAUGUUUGGCUGAAGUAACAGAAAACUUUACUAAGAGUGGCUUAAACUACAAAGGCAUCUAAUGUUUAAUGUUUAAAGAUGAUGUGAGAGAUGGGAAGUCCAGAGGUGGUCUGGUGGCCCAAUAACGUCAUCGGUGACUCAGAUGCCACCCACCUCUCUACUCCACCAUUAACAGAAUGUUAGUGUCACUCCCUCGUGAUUGCAGUGUGGUUGCCUCCACUCCAGCCAUCACAUCUGCAUAGUUAGUGCUCAAGCCAGAAGCAAGAGGGCACCUUCCUCAUUGCCCAUCUCUUUCUUUUCAGGAAGGAAAAUCUCUCACAGAAGCCCCCAUAGACUUCCUCUAAGAUCUCAUUGGCCAGAACAAGUCCCUGUCCCAACCAAUCACCAGAGGUGGGGGAGGGGAAGGGGAGCAGUUGCCAUGACUGGCUUGGACCAGUCAUGAUUCCUCCAAAAUGAGCAUCCCCAGGAGGAAGGCAGGGUGAGGUGGGCAAAGGCUGCUGUGUGAGCAACCAACUCGAUGCUGCCACAAAGGAGAAAUGGACGAGGGAGCUGCGGUUUCCAAGACAAGGGAACAGAAGAGCAGGAGGAACAGCAUACCACGCAGAGGUGCAGAGGCGCGGUAGCUACUGGUGGUGUGCAUGAGCACAGCAGGGGUGGGGCAAGGUGGGCAGGGCCUCAUAUUCCGUUAGAUGCCUGGAGCAAGGCGGGCCCUGGGCAAUAGGGAGCUACUGAGAGAUGCUGAGCAGAGAGUGAGCACAGCCACAGACGGGAAACUGCAGGUAUGCAGGGGCCCUGUGGACCUUUACUUCUUUACCUGGCACAUGAGGACCACAGCGUGUCCAGCCUGGGCAGGCGGGUUAGAUGGACUGGGAAUGUAGCCCUCAAAGUAAGGGGUUUAUCGUGUGCCCCCCGAAGGUAGCUGAGAAGGGGUGCAGGUGGGUAAGGUCCGGGACCAGGGUCCCUGGGAAGUGUCCUCAAGGACCGCUAUGUCUUCUGACUCCAAAGCUGCACGCUAACCUCCUACCUGUCUCCCGCUCCCUCGUGCAUCACUGCAGCCAGGCAUUCUGCAAACCGCAGGAGUGCCAGGGGCCGUGACCCCGGGGUCAGCACCAAGGGCACCAGCAACAGGCACCCGUCCAACACUCCAUCUCCAGCAGCUCAGACAGCACAGCGCCACUGUGAGGUGGCCACUGCCAGACCAAUUAUAGUGAGAAGCUGAGCCUCCAAAGGGGCAAAGGACUUGUCCAAGGUCACACAGACUGAGAAUGUUUAGAAGCUAGGGCUGCCUGUCUGUCACGCAAGCAGACAGGCCAGCCUCAGGCAAUGACAGCCAAGUGAACUCAGCACAGAGCAGGGUGUGUGUGUCAUGGUGGGGGCGAGGGUACUGGACGGGCAGGCUGCGGAACAGAUGCCCAGAAGGGCAGAGUCUCGCAGGGUGAGGGCACUGCUGUCCCUCUGCUGGAGAGCAGAGGAAAGGCGCUCCUGCUGGAGGACCAGCUCGUGCAAAGGCCGGGAGGUGCUGCAGCAUGAGAAACACGGCUUGUGUGUGACAGAGGGGGACAAUGGAAGCCACUGCUCACGCGGGAGGAGGCCCCUGGACUUCCCCUCCUCCCCGGCUUGCCCCUGACCCUGGCAGCUCUGCCUCCAUCCAUCUCUCUGUCUCCCCUCCUCCUGCUGCCCCGAGGCCCAGCCCCUGAGCCGGCUCCUCCUCAUCGUCCUGCACUUUCCACAUUGUCCCGUCUUGGCUCAGACACCACAGACACCUUCCCUCCCUUGAAGUGAUAAUUAAGUUUCUCAUUACUGAGGGAUACCCUCAUGACAUGUCUUCAAAGUUUAAAAAAAAUUUAAAUUGAAAAAAAAAUCCAGACUGUUAAUGGUCUAAAUGAGCAGAUGGCGAGCGAAGGUUGCUCAGGUUCCCAAUAAUGAAAGAGCCCUGGUCCCGGAGCGGGAGGGAGGGGGUGAACUUGACCCCCAUGUGGCCCGUGGGUAAUCCUUUCGUCUAUUCAGGGUUUUAGCCAUCGUCACAUUUCUGAGCCCAUUUCUGCAUCUGGCCCAGAGCCCUCCCAGAGCUCACAGGCUGGAGAGGUCAUCAGAGUGUGACGAUAGCGCCGGGGGGGUCCAGGUGAGGCCUCAGGGGGCCGUAGGAGGGGCUGGGGAUCAGGAACAGCUUUAUGGAGGAGGUGACGUCUGAGCUGGGUCUCCAAGGACCAGCCGUCAUCUAGCUAGGGCCUGGCACCAAGAAGGAACCAAACACAUGACGAGUGAAUUAGUGAGUGAAUGAACGAAUUGGCAUCCGCCUAACAGACAGCAAGGAGGGGCAGCCCACCCAAGCAAAGGCAUGAAACACAGGGCCUCCUGGGGAACGUGAGGAGGGGCUGCCAUGCAGUGCCCGACUCACCCCCGUUAUGGCCAUCUUGCUGCCACAAUAGCCGUGCUCUGGCCGCCCGGGAGCCCUGGCCUGCCCUCUGCUCUGGGAUACUGCUCGUCAUUCCCAGCCACACCAGCGUGUGUCACCUCCAUGUCCCUGUGUGUAAGGGCACCAGCCUCUUGGGGGUUUGUGAAGAGGGGGAGGUCAGUGUGCAGCCCCAGGCUGAGGACAGGAGGGAGAGGGUCACGGGGUCCCGAGGCGGUGGAUCCAGGGGCCGGGGGGCAUUGGCAGAUGGGGUGGGGAGGAGCCAUGCUCGGGGGCGGAGGAUCCCACUGGCGGAGGUUCCCUCACCCAGCGGGGCUUCAUGGAGAAAAGGGAGUCGUGGGGCAAGGACUCAACUCCACCUGGGCCAAACUGACUUGGAGAAGCUCAGGGGACACCCAGACAGAGAAGUCUAGGAGGAGCUGGACGUGGGGGUAAAGGCACCACAGAUGGUCAGGGUCAGAGUUUGAGAGCCAGAUGAGAUGGGGCCGAGGGGCAGUGGAAGGGGCUGGAGGACAUUGAGGACAUUCACUAACUGGGGUCAUCAAGGUGGAGACUGCUGUGUUGAUUUCACAGCCUCCUGGUGCCUGACAUAGCUGGGCCCAGGGAGGCCAUUCAAUAAACGCAUACUGACUUAACCCAAAUUCACUUGUUUCUACUUUAAAUCAUGGAACAGGAUAGAAUUUGCUGGACCCAGGUUAAUUAGUAGGAAGCUGAAAGCAAGGAUUAUAAACAAAAGCAAGAUACAGACUUGAGAUAAAACUAAGAAUCCACACUAAUAACUAAGACUCUCAAACAUGCAGCCCACUGUGGCCUCAGGGCCUUUGCACUUGCUGGUCUCGCAGCCUGGAACACUCUACCCUCUGCAUUGCUUGCUCCCUAAACAUCUUUGGGAAUUUGCUCAAACGUCCUUCCUGACUUAAUUUUUCUCCAUGGUACAUAUCACCGCCUGACUUUGUGUAUAUUUUACCUAUUUUUUUCUCUGUCUCCCCCACUAGGCUGUCAGCUGUACGAGAAUGGCGACCUCUGUGUGCUUCACUCUGCUGUGCCCGGUGUCUGGAGCUGGCCCACAGGCAGUAGGGCCUCAGUGGUGUGCGCUGGGCAAGUGAACACCGCCGACCACAAGCAAGCACAUUUCUGGGAGUUCUCAGUGUUACUGGCUCACUCGCUGUUUAUGGAGCCCCGCUCUGUGCCCUGCCCCGACUUAGGCCGCAGGCACGACGUCAGUGAAGGAGACGAGAAAAUAAACUCUGCUGCCCCCAUGGAGCUGACAUCGCAGAGGGAAACAAAGAGUGAGGAGAGCACAGCAGGUAAGAAGGCAGAAGUGCCACAGAGGAGAAGCGAGGCUCAGGGGUCAGGAGGGCGCGGGUUGGGGCACAGAGGUGGGAGGAGAGGAGUGAGGAUGAGGGCCCCGGAUGGUGCAGGGCCUGGGGGCUCCUGUGAGGACUUUCCUUCUGGGUGGGCACAGUCAGGGUGGGGUGCUGAGCCAGGGGUCAGGCCCCGAAUGCUGUGAGAGGAAUGAGGCGGGUGACGGUAGGGAGACCGGGUUGGGGAGGCUGUCACUGUAGAUGGAGCAGGCAGGGAAGGCUCCUUUGAGGAGGUGACAUUUGAGCUGAGCCCUUGUCUGGACCAUGUUUCUAGCUUCUGUAAAACUGAUGCCUUAACACCUGUCCUGCGUGCGGAGGUGGGACAUGCCUUGUUCUGACUCCCUUCCACUCAGCCUCCUGCCCGCCUCGGUGCCCCCUCACCCCACCCUCAGGAAGAGCCCUCCUUUCCAAUACAAACCAACCCACUUUUCCAAUACAAACCAACCAAUCCAGUGUCCAUCCACACCCCAACCACCUCCUCUACCGGACACGCAUAUUCUGGGCCACUAUCCACUGCUCUUAUCACCCAGGGCAGGUACCAGACAACUGGGACAGCCCCUACGCCCCAGAGCCUGUGAAAUUAUUCAGGCCAGCCAGUCCUAAGCCUGCUCACCCUGCCCCACUGUUCCUUUCUGCAGAAACCACAGUAAAGUCUCCUGCCACAGGUCCCCUACUCCCUCUGCCUCCUGACCACCCUGGUGCUUCCCCGUGAGGCCCUGUGUGGCCCUGUGUGGCAUGCCCCCUCCUCUGGGAACUGUGAGUAACAGACUAUCUUGUCAAUGGCAUCAUCUCCUGAUCUGUUGGCCUUACUGAACCUCAAAUUUUUCAUUAAUACUUUCUGUCUUGGACCAGCCCUCAGGACACUUUGCACUUAGUGUAAACAAAUGAAGAAUAAAUGAAUGAUCUACCCUUUUACAACAUCUUCAACAAGUUUAAUAUUUUAAUAUACACUGAACUUCCUUUUCCCCACGAAAUUGGAGCCUCCAUAAGAGUGGAGGGCAUAUCAGAAAUUACACGGACAAGGCCAGACCCCUGGGAAGCCCUGAAUAUCUGUGUCCCCAGACGGAGGGCUCAGGCCAAGCGUGACGGAGUCCGAGUCUCCGCCCUCAUACUGUGACUGGCAUUUGGCUGGUUUUUCAAAUUCACCUUUUAAUCUUGUCAGUUUAGCAGGGAGCUCGUCACUUCCAAACUCAUCUUUCUAGCAAUAAUCAAGUUACAUCACGCGUGAGACGGCCUGUUCCCUGAGUUAUUUCAUGAGAAUCCACAGACAUUAGCAGGGAGUCAGCCCAGCCUACUUCAGAACAAGGGGCAUCUUUGGGAGCAGUGAGGGUGCACAGCGCGGGAGGACAGAACAAGAGGAUGCCCUGGGAGAUACCAGCCCCAGACUUAGGAGCAUCAACCUAGAGGCAUGAGAUUUCCAGAGAAGCGCCCAGAGAGGGGAGUGGGUUGGAGCUGAGCUUGGCUGUCACCUCAUGGAAAGGGGGGCUGAAAAUUUCAGACAGCUGUGGCCCUGGGAGCAGCCUGACCCAAGGGAACCACACAGAAAGUCCUCUCUGAGACUGUUGUCCUGGUCAGGACAAGGUUCAGCUGCUGUAACAAAGGCGCCCACAGGAGAGUGGCGCACAGAAGCUGGCAUCUCUCCUGCGCUCACUCUGGAGACAGACAGUCCAGGGCUGGUCCGGCAGGGCUGCUCUGGGAGGCUCCUCUCCCUGUUGCCGUCACCCCAGAGGAGCUGCCCUCAUCAGUGUGGAGCAGGACAGAGGGAGCAAGGACAGAGGGAGAAGCAGAAGGAAGGACAUGCUUCUCUCCUAGGAAAUAUCCUAGAAACCGCACAAAUCGCUUCCCUUCCCAUCCUGGAGGGAGAGCUUGGCUCCAUGCGCAGCCUAGCUGCAGAGGAGGCUGGGAACUCUGUAGUCAUGGGUGACCACACACCCAGUUAAAAGUCAGGUGUUUGGUUGCUCUGAGAAGUGGACGAUGCCAUUGGAAGCCACCUGGACCUCUCUGCCACACCCCUUUUAAUGUUUCCUCCCACCACCCCACCACUCCCUACUCUGAGUUCGCAUUUUAUGAAAAAUUGUCCAUCAGACAAAUUGCAUUAAGUCACUCAUAAUUCAGGAACCAGCUGAAAAUCAUGGGCCGGUGGGUGCUUUUCAUUAGAUUUGCUGGCAAAUCGCUGCUGGGGCUCCAUUACCAACUCUGAGGUUCUCUCCUACAGAGCCCACGGUGCAUGAGCAGCCAGCAGUGUCUUCUCCAACGGAAGCCCAUCACGUCGCUCCCUGCGCCUGGACCCCCUGCUCCUUGGAACAAAACCCAAAGCCCUUGCUGUGGAACUGAACUUGGACUAAUGAGGGAGCUCGGAGGCAGCCGCGGCCCCAGCCAGCCAGGGCCCAGGCUCACAGAAGAGGAGGAGAAAGCCUCGUCAGCAGAGCCUUCUGUUAUCAGAGCUGACUGCUCUUCCAGGCCGUGAGCUGGGGGAUAUUUAAGCUUGGAGACCCAGCGAGAAAUGCACCAGUGGGGAGUGGUCCCAGAAACAAGGGGUGCUGGCCCAACGCCCCACUCCCCAGCCUCACACCCCACCUCUGUCUUGUAUGCUCCUGACACUCUAGCUCCUGUCUGGAAGGCCUCUGCUCCAUUUCCUGUGGUCAGAGCUGUGUCUCGGGACCCUGCUAGACACCACUUCCCUAAGAUGCUGUCCUGACACGGCCAGCAGCAGCGAGCGUGUGCUGUGCUGGGCAUGUCCUUCCUUUGUACCUGUGAACAGGUGACUGUACGAUGGGGAAGUCCCCAUCUUGUCUUCCCAGCUGGACCGUGCUCUUUGGGCAGGAUCCGUGUCUGAUUCACCUCGGGGAGCCCGACAGGGUUUGGUCAAGUGCCCAGCAUGUGGGCUUCACAGAGAGUGAACCUCGUGGGCAAGAGUGUCUGUGGGAAACUGAACAAUUCAGUGUGAGUAAAGUGCAAGGAGGGGGUGGUGGCGAAAAGGUCUGCAGGGGGACAGGUCACAGAGGGUCCCGAAAGCCCACUCAGGCACUGGGACUUGCCCUGAAGGGAAUGAGAGCCCUGGGCGGAUUUCAAGCAGAGCAACACUGGUGGAUCACACAUUGGGCUGUUUGGCGUAAAGGAAACCAAAACGGGGGACAUGCAGGGGGAGCGACAAGACCCCCAGCCCAUCCCCAGCCCUCUUCUUACUUCCCCUGGCCCUGCUCUCUAUGGACGAAGGAAAAUCUUCUCUGCCCGCUCAGAUGCUGGGACCGUGCUGGGGCCGUCUCGUGAGAAUGUGGAAAGACUCUGCACACAGUGCCACCCGCCUUGCAAGCAGCAGCCAGCGGCCUCCUGGACAUCCUCAGCGUCUUAGGAGGCCAGGCAGAAGCUCUCUGACAGAUGAAUCCUCCUCUGGACCCCCCAGGAUGUCUGGCUUCCCGUGAGCUCCUCUGGAACCUUGAGCAGGCUGAACAGCCCGCACCUCGGUCACGACUCUCAGCGGGACUGCUCUGUGCCACUGUCAUAAAAAGGAGAAAUCAUCCCAGGGGACAGGCCCAACUCAUGCAUAAUAGUCAGAAAACUCAGCUGUACCUGGAAGUGACCUGAGGCUGCUUUUUGGGCCCACACCCGUGCCACUUCUCUGGCUCCCCACACAGGCUGGCUCACGGGGCUUGGUUCCCCUAUCAUGGACCUCUUGGUUGUAGAUAAUAAAGGCCACAGGAUCGGAAGUUUCCCUCGGUCCUUCUGGAAAUGUUAGGUAACGUUAGUACACAGUUUCUCCCUUUCUGCCCUGCACCAUGGCUCCCAGCCUUUUCCCUUCAGAACCACAUUCAUUGCUGCUGAGAGUUACCAUAAUAAUUCUAAGUCAUUUUUCCACUUUGUCGUUCUGAUUAACUCCAAGUACUACAUCACUACACACUUCUCAAACUGGAGCAUGCACGGCCCCAUUUCUGUGUAGGGAGAAUGCAAAAGUAACUGUGACACACCUUUCUGGAGCAUCCAGUUGAUUACAAGACUUGGAAGACCAAGGACUUUACCAGAACUGUCCCUCUACCCUACAAACAUGGAAGAAGAGAUGGAGGGGACAGGAGAGGGAAGAAGUGCCCGAGGAAAAGCAGCCCAGCCUCUGAAGUUUCACCCAGGUUGGGGCCAAGGGGCACACCUGCAGCGAGGUGGCCUCUCCUCGUGUCCCCAGGCACCUCCAGGCCGUCCUCGAAGUUCACCAAGUAUCUUGGAUAUAUGCUUCUGAAGGCCAUGGAGAUGCCAGAUGCCAUUCUGAUGUGAAUCCCGUGUGGAGGAGGCUGCAGCAGCUUGCACACCUCCAUCGUCUGCUGGACCAAAUCCUCUCACCUGGAUGUCCGCGCACAUAUGGCGUGUGCUUCUCGCACUGCUCCCGCUCACAGCUGAAUGCAUCUCACCUCUGGCCAAACUCCCUCGCCACUGUGCCAGCCUGUGGAGCUCGGCAUCUUGCUCUCCAUUUAAAACGCAGGGGUUUGGCUUGACCUCCCCACCAUCUUUGAUUUGGACCCUGCCAUGAGAUCAAAUUGGCUUCACUCUAUUGUGUUUGCCAUGCCGGUUCUUGCUGGGCACACAGAAACAGAAGCGUCUUAUAAAGUUUAAGAAUCUACCAGCGGACCUCCUUGGGCCCUGGCUGGGGCCAGAGGGAGAGGCUGGGGUCGCCCCAGCACGCUGCCCAGCGUGCAGGAAGGUUCCACUGCAGGACACACCCUGGGGGCAGUUGCUUUCCGCUGGGCCGCCACUACUGUUGCUGGUGCUGUGGGUGGAGGGGAAGGCCCCAGGGCCGUUCUGGAGGGUUGGGCUGGGGGUGGCAGUUCUCGACUCCAGGCUGGCCGGGGUACUGGCAGGCUCUUUGGCCUUUGGCCCUGACCCCUGUUUCUCCCCAGGCUGCUGAUUUUCUGCCUUGCAGAGCCAGAUGCGAAAACCAUGUUCGCUGUGAUCACGUCUUCCUGGGAGUGCAAAGGCCUUCAGAUGCACCGUGCAGGUCUGGGAAGAGCUGCAGCUGUUGGGGUCAAUGACCUUACAGUGACGGUGUGACCCUCCACCCGGGGUUUCUUGGAACUAAGCAUCAGGCACGUGGACGUAACAUCGUCAUACCUCCUUCUUGUUAAGGAAUCCUGGAUCUUGUCCCACUCAAAGCCCAUGUUCAUCAUUACCUGUGUCACCCAGGAGUCCCUGUUGUCACAGGGCAGCUCCUGGUAAGGCCUGAGUCUCUCCUGGCCCAUAUUGACCCACAGGUCCUCCAGGACAUCUUUUAAACUCCUUUUCUUGCUGGGGUCAAGGGUCAUCAGUUCUUUCAAGAGCCUUCUGCAUUCCAGUGAAAGGAACAUGGGAAGCGGGUAUCGCUGGCUCAGCACCAGCUGCUGCACUGUGCAGAUGUCCUCUCCCAGGAUAGGUGGGACCCAGUGACUAUAACGUAAAGAAUAACGCCAAGGUUCCAGAUAUCAGCCGGGGGACUGUAUAGCCUGGGCCCUGGAAGGUCUCCAGGCAGUAUAACCAGGCCACUGCAGUACGCGCUCAGCUUGCACCCGACGAACACGUUGCUGAGGCUGAAGUCCGCCAGCUUCACAUUCAGUUCAGCAUCCAGAGGCAGGUUCUCCAGGCUCAGGCCCCUGUGGACAAUGCCUCUGUGGUGGCAGUAUCGGAGAGCCGAGCCGAGCUGCCGGAAUUUUCCUUGGGCCUCUUCCUCCAGCACGCCGCCGUGGUUUCAUAAGUAAUUGAGUGUGUCUCCUCCACUAACGUCCUCCAGGACGAAGAACAAUGUUUCCUCCGUGUCAAUCACCUCAAACAACCUUACAAUAUGGGGGUGACUCAAGGCCUUCAGGCUGUGGACUUCACGGAAAAGUUCCCUGAUUCUGGUGAGGCUGUGUCAAGUCUUGCGAAUGACUUUAACAGCCACCUCUGUCACGGUUGGGAUGUGCCAGGCCAACUUCGCGCUGGAGAAGAUACCCUUUCCAAUGGUCUUGAGGAGCUCAUAAUUGUUAACACAGGUCUUCUUGUUGGCAGAGGUGGCUGCAAGGCCCAGAAGCAUGGUGACCUGCUAACUACAUUAACUGACAAUACUAACAAUGCUAACUAUGCUUACUAACUACGCUAACAAACAAAACUAUAGUAUGCUAACUACUAGUAACUAAUGAUACUAACAAUGCCACCUAUGCUUACUAACUAUGCAAAUAAAUAAUACUGACUAAACAUGCUAACUACUAACUAUACCAACAAUACUAACUGUCCUAACAAUACUAAAUUUAAAAAUUAAAGAAAAUGAGAAAGAGAACAAAGAAAAAAUGAGAAAAGUACAAAGGGAAAUUGAGAAAAAGAAAAAAUAAAAAAGUGAGAAAAAGAAAGGAAAAAUGAGAAAAAGACAAAAAGAAUUUUAAAAAUGAGAAAGGAGAACAAAGAAAAAUAAAAAAUAAUAAGAAAAAAUAGGAAAUAAAAAUAAUAACAAAAAAAAGAGUAGAUAAAAAAGAAAAAAUAAACAAAAUGGGGGGUGGUGAGCAAACAAGCUGGCUGUGGUCCAGCUACAGGUCACCAAAAGUUAGCUUCCUGGGUUAUAAGAACCAAAAACCUAGGCCUGGCCAGAGACUUUAUAGGUAUUUUGCAAUUUCAUUACAGUGGCUCACUAGGAGGGCAAAGCAAGAAAUGUGCCAACCAUGACUGAGGAGAAACCACAGUGAUUUUCUCACUUUUUGGUCUCAAUACCCCUUUAGUCUUAAAAAAAGGACCCCAGACAAAGGGUUAAUCUCCAUACUAUAUAAAGAGCUCACACAACUCGACAACAACAAAUCAAACAACCUGAUCAAAAAAUGGGCAGAGGAUAUAAACAGACAUUUCUCCAAAGAAGAUAUACAGAUGGCCGAUAGGCACAUGAAAAGAUGCUCAUCAUCUCUGAUCAUCAGGGAAAUGCAAAUCAAAACUACAUUAAGAUAUCACGUUACACUCGUUAGAAUGGCAAAAAUAACCAAAACAAAAAAGAACAAAUGUUGGAGAGGAUGUGGAGAAAAGGAAACCCUCAUACACUACUGGUGGGAAUGCAAACUGGUGCAGCCACUAUGGAAAACAGUAUGGAAAUUUCUCAAAAAAUUAAAACUAGAAAUACCAUAUGACCCAGCCAUCCCACUACUGGGUAUCUAUCCAAAGAACUUGAAAUCAGCAGUUCAGAGAGACCCAGGCACCCCUAUGUUCAUUGCAGCAUUAUUCACAAUAGCCUAGACGUGGAAGCAACCCAAGCGCCCAUCAACUGAUGAGUGGAUAAAGAAGAUGUGGUAUAUAUACACAAUGGAAUACUACUCAGCCAUAAAAAAGAAUAAAAUCAUCCCAUUACAAGAACACAGAUGGACCUUGACGGUAUUAGGUUAAGUGAAAUAAGCCAGACAGACAAUCUCUGUAUGACUCCACUCAUGUGGAAGAUAAACAAACACAUGGACAAGGAGAACAGAUCAGUGGUUAUCAGGAGGAAGGGGAGUGGGGGGUAGGCACAAAGGGUGAAGAGGUGCACCUAUAAGAUGACUGACAAAUAGUAAUGUACAACUGAAAUUUCACAAGUUUGUAAACUAUUAUAACCUCAAUAAUAAUAAAAAAGGACUCCAAAGGGCUUUUCACUUAUGUGGGAUAUUAGAGAGUGAUAUUUAUUAGAAAUUAAAAUCUGUAGGAUGCUUCAGUGGCCUUUUCAUUUCUAAUUUAAAAAUCUGUAAUAAUUUCUGGCUUUUAAAGACCUCAUAAUGUCUACACUUAAAAUCUUCAAUUCCUUUUCCUUAAACUCUGAUUAGUCUCAAAAUGAUCCUAUAACUUAACUCAUGUUAUAAUACUAUAGGAUGCUGGUGUCGCCUAUAAUACUAUAGGAAAACGUUCUGUUGUAUAAGACAUGAGAACCAGGAACUUGCAAGAAAACACUGGAUGGGGUGUCUGUGACAAGUUCCUCUUUAUCAGUUCAGGUGCUAGCAGGAAAUACACAGCACGCUCAAAUUUGGUAAUUUGAGGUGAGUCUAAUAAAAGGACCAUUUGUAGAGAUGUGGGCUGGGUGUGAGGCAACAUAAGAGGGUGCAGUAUGCUGGGGCUAGAAACCAUGGGGAGCCAUUACCCACCGCCCUCUGCCCCCGGGGCUGCCAGGGAGCAGUUAGCAGGAACCCAAAGAGAACAGCCUGUGGGUAGAGAGCUGCUUGACUAAAAGCGUGGCCUUUGGAGAUCAGCCAGGCGGCAGUGAAGCUGCAGGAAGGGGGCCAGGGAAAUAAAUACCCCUCCCUACUUUCUUGCCUUCCUCGCCAGCCAAGCUCCAAAAUGGCCAAACUCAUAGAUAUGGUCCACGUGAUCCAGCCUUCUGGGGCAGAGAGCAGGAUGGAAAGUGGGUUUGCAGAGCUAAAUGGAAGCUUCCAGCACAACACGCUCUUUCCGCUAUUGUUGUCGAAGCAUUUCUCUUCUAUUUGCUAACUCCUAGGGUGGGGACAAGGCCUCCUGGGAACGGAGGCUGGACGCAGGGCAGCAGCAAGAAUACGAUGCAGUAAGGAUGGCCGUUACGGUCCCCUUCCAGACAGUGGGAAGUAGGUCUGCAGCUCAGGGCUCAGGCGCUGGGCAGGACCGUGACCCUCAGGAAAGAAGAGAGACUACCCACCCUGAGGGUUCCAGGGUGGCACUGGACAGAGGAAAAGUCAGGCAGGCCUGCCGCCCCCGAGGAAGAGAGCGACGUCGGCCACCCUUGACGAUAGUUUCCAGUUACUGGAGUUUCUGUUGCCUGAAUUCUGACUGCCCCGCAACCAAGUUCAGCCUGGAUCUCUCUUGUCUGAACCACUGCCAGGCAGUGCAGAACACAGACGGGCCACCUCUGUGUACAGAGGUGACUGGGCAGUCCCACCAAACCAAUCACAGUUUCUGCCAUGGUCUGCUACACGGCAUGGAGGAUUACUGUGCUGGAGACAGGCUCAUAUUAAAAUAUUAACCUACAUUUAAAAUGUUUCCAUCGUGUCCACGGGGAUCUCCAUUCCAUAUGUUUGCAGGGGCUCUGGGGCCAGCAGUGUGUCUGACUUUGAGUGUUUUAAAAUGAAGGCUAAAGGUGACUUGCAAUAAACCAGCACAAGUAAUAACACAGAGGCCAAGACACCCCCCUUAGUUAAUAUUGACUUUGAAGGCUUUCCUUCCGUGAACAGCAUCAGAGGCUGAUAGACCCUAGAGGCCACCUCCUUUAACUGGUUCAACCUCCCUUGGUUUAAAUUCUUCUCUUCGCCCCUCCCUUCCUCUCUCCUUUCUUCCCAAAAUGUGUUCAGCUGACCACCUGUAUUAGUUUCCUGUGGCUGCUGUAACAAAUGACCACAAACUCGGCAGCUUAAAACAACACAAACUUACUAUCUUACAGUUUGGAGGUCAGAAGUCUGAAAUGGGUCUUACCAGGCUAAAAUCAAGGUGUCAGCACGGCUGUGUUCCCUCUGGAGAAUCCACUUCUCGGCCAUUUCCAGCUUCUAGAGGCCAGCAUUCCUCCACUCAUGGCCCCUCCCUCCAUCUUCAAAGCUAGCAAUGGACAGUCAAGUGUUUCCCACGAUGCAUCACUCUGACUCUGAUUCUCCUGCCUCCCUCCUUCACUUAGAAGGACUCUUCUGAUUCCAUUGGGCCCAGCUGGAGAAUCCAGAAUAAUCUCCCCAUCUCAAGACCCUUAAUUUAAUCACAUCUACAAAAUCCCUUUCGCCACAUCAAGUAACACAUUCACAGGUUCUGGGAAUCAGGAUGUGGACAUCUUUGGGAGCCCAUUAUUCUGCCUACCCCUCAUGCAGGUUAACUUCAAGUUAUGUGCUUUCCUAGUACAUACCCUCCUUAUUCACGGUGCCCAUCAACACGGAAGUUCACUGCAACUGUAGUGGUGAAAUUAGUGAUUUAAUGUCUAUCCCCCUAACUGGAUAAAAAACUCUCCAAAGGAGGAGAUUAUAGAUGUUUUGACAACCACUAGCGUAUUCUCAGAGCUUCCUAGCAGCAAAGGCAAGUAAGGAAGCAUGUUGAGAAGGGAGGAAGAAGAGAAAAGAAAACAAUAGCUAACUUUUAAUGAUCACUCACCUGUGUGCCAGCAAUGUUCCAGGUGUUUUUAGCCUAUUUAGUUCACACGUUGUGAAGGAGGGGCUGUCAGCUACAGAAAGCAGUAGCACAGCUGGGAUUCAGAAUCCCUGAUCUGAACCACUGUGUCACAUAAACAAAUACUCUCAAACAGUAUUUCAUGUGCCAUAAUAGAAGUCUGAGAGGCAGAAAUGAAGGAGGGAGGGACCAGGUCUACAGAUGUGUCAGGCAAGAUUUUCCAGAAGAUGUAAUACAUGGAAGGCAGAGGGGGGUGUGCCGAGUUGGGGGUGGGGCGGGGGAAGGAGGGCUGUGAUGGGGAGUGGAGCAAGGUGUUCAAGGCAGAGGAGGCUAUAUGAACAAAGUCCCAGGCAGGAAAUUGCUUGGUGUUUUCUAGAAAUUGAAGAUGAUGCAGUACCGCUGGAGCUUAGGCGGUGAAAGGCAGGGCACAGAGCAGGAGAUGGGGCUGAAGUGGGAGGCAGAGGCUCCAUUCCGAGAACGCUGUCAGCCAUGUCUAGGCUUUAGACACUGUCCUAAAGAAAAUGGGAAGCCAUUGGAAGACUUUCGAUGCUGAGGUUUUAACAAAAUCAGCUUACUCACCACGUGGAAGAAGGAUUGCAGGGUUGGGAUGCUGAAGGCAACGAGGCAAGUGGAGCGCGUGUGAAUGGGAAGCCUAGUGCUGGAACCCAGAGGUUUCAUGGCUCCAGCCCAGGGCAUUGCCAGCUGUGCAUCUGGACCCUCCCCACGGCCUCACCACCACCAAGAGAGGGAGUGCGGUGGGGAAGCAGAGAGCCCUCUGCUCUCGGAAUGAAGAAAUCGAAAGUCCAAUCUCUGCUUCAAAACCAGGCAAAGGGAGGAGAAGCGAGCCAGAGAGAAACGCAUUUAAUUCUUUUUUCUUUUUUUUUAAAAUGUAUUUUUGCAUCUAACAUGAUUUCUAAUUUUUGUUUUUUUAAGAUUUUUUUUCCCUUUUUCUCCCCAAAUCCCCCCGGUACAUAGUUGUGUAUUUUUAGUUGUGGGUCCUUCUGGUUGUGGCAUGUGGAUGCCACCUCAGCAUGGCUUGAUGAGUGGUGCCAUGUCUGCACCCAGGCUCCGAACCGGUGAAACCCUGGGCCGGCGAAGUGGAGCGCGAGAACUUAAGCACUCAGCCACGGGGCCGGCCCCUGCAUUUAAUUCUUAACUCACAGUGAAGACUUCCUCCAAGAAGAUUCAUUCAGAAAUUACUUCUCCUCCCUGUGAACACCUCCCACUGAUGUUCCUGCCACGCCUUCAUUCAAUCAACAAAUAUUGAGCACCUACUGUAUGCCCAGCACUGUGUUAGGCACCAUGUUAGAUGCAGAAAUGAAUGACUCUGACUUGUUCUUUGCCCUUGUGGAGUUUACUGUCUAGUAGGAGAAUAAAACAUCGAUCAAAUUAAUGCAUAUAUUGUAACAUGAUUUUAAGCGUGGCAAGCCCCAUGAAGAAGCUGAUGGGGAGCGUGAUGACGGCAGAUUGCAUCACUGGUUCCAGUUCUUUACCUCUCCUUGUAGUUUCAACUGUGUCAUGUGACUUUGAAGUUUCUUCCAUAACAGCACAGUAUAUUUCCACACUCCAUUGACUUUUAGCUUAGCCAUGUGACUUACUUUGUCCAGUAAGAUGAAGUGGAGGUGACAGUGAGCCAAUUCCAAGGGUAGGUCUUGGCAGGUCUUGGUGUGCUCCCUUUUGCCCUCCUGUGUCUCUGCCAUCACCUUGAGAAUACGCCUUGGCUAGCCUGCUGGCCCCACGAGGAGGCUGAGAGACACAUGGAGCACGGCUGCCCCAGCUGAGCCACUCUAGCUAAGAGGAGGCUAGAUGAACUGACCUGACCCCACAGCUCUAAAGAUGAAUGAGAGGGCCCAGCUGAGAUCAGCAGAGCUACCCAGCCAAUCCCAGCCAGGGUCAGCUAACCCAGCUCACCUGCACACUUGUGAGUUCAAGAAAUGCUUAUUGAUGUAAGCCGCUGAGAGUGGCUAUUUGUUAUGCAGCAUUAUUGUUUAUAGUUAGGUGACACACUGACUUAUUCUAAGCAGGCUAUGGCGGGACUCCCUGAAGAAAUGGCAUCUCAGCAACAGCCAAGUUCAGUGGGUGAAGGAGGAGAAGAGGAGCAUUCCAGGCUGAGGGAUGAGCAAAGGCCCUGAGGCAAGAAGGACAUGACCAUUCGAGAAACUGAAAGAAAGCAGGAUUUUCUGGGGGUGCAAAGGUGCGGUGG
ensembl:lncRNA